AAGAGAGAGAGAGAGAGAGAGAGAGCGGGAGGGCGACCAACAAAACAAAAAUAAGAUCAAAUCUCAUGUACAAUUCAAUGUACCCACAAACAAAGAGCUCUCUCUGUGGUUUAUGUGGUUGAGCUUCGCUGGUAUUUGAGGCUAAACAAUUGAUUUUCUUCCUCAAGAGGUCAAUCUGCAAGCUUGUUUGAUCUUUAAUGUAAGUGUGUUUUAUAUAAAUAUAUAUAUAUAAACAUGCGGGAAGAGAGAGAGAGAGAGCAGUGAACGUGCUCUGCUUUGUCUGGACUCCUCUCUCUCUCUCUUGCUUCAACCAAACUUCACGCUUGCAGAGAGAGAGAGAGAGAACACAUGAUUAGAGUUCUUGCUGUUUUUUAUUCCAUUCAAGAGCGGAGUCUGGUUUUUGGAACUUGGGCUCUGUCCAUCCUUUGAGGCUUAACAGGCCAUGCUUGUUCCAUAGAGAGAAUUGAAAACCGAAAACAAAAACCCUUUUCUUUUUUUUGGGUUUCCCUUCGAAGAAGAAGAAGAAGAAGAAGAAGAAGAAGAAGACCAUUUAUCUUUUUGUUUGGUGGGUUUUUGGGUUUCCGACCAUUUUAUCACGCAAAACAAUGGUGCAAUGAUCAUUCAGGAAUGGAGAGCAGAAAGGUCGAAGCUUUAAGCUGAUGCAGCAUAAAUGCAAUCUGGGUUCUUUUUUUCCAGCUCUGCAAUGAAGUGGGAGAAGAGGAAACAACAAGCAGAACAAGAAGAAGAGAUAAGAGAAAAAUAGAAGUUUCUUCUUCUUCUGUUGCGAUGAGUCUGAAGAUGCAAGGCCACCACUUGGUGGCUAUGAGUCUGAACGAGCAAUUGAACACAAAAAGAAAGUACACAUUCAUCAGCCGAGCUUGGCUCCCAAAAAUCCUCUCCCUCUGGAUCAUAUUCAUGGCCUUUGUUGCCAACCUAAUCUACCAGAGAAUGGAUGCCGAAAACAAGGAGAGACGAAAGGAAGCCCUUGUCAGCAUGUGUGACCAAAGAGCCAGAAUGUUGCAAGAUCAAUUCAGUGUCAGUGUUAACCAUGUCCAUGCCCUAGCCAUCCUCGUCUCAACUUUCCAUUAUCUCAAAAACCCAUCUGCCGUUGAUCAGGAAACCUUUGCCGAGUACACGGCCAGGACGGCCUUUGAGCGGCCAUUGUUGAGUGGCGUGGCGUAUGCACAAAGGGUAAUUCACUCAGAGAGGGAAGAGUUUGAGAGAGAACACGGCUGGACAAUUCGGACAAUGGAGAAGGAGCCCUCUCCGAUCCGGGACGAGUACGCCCCGGUUAUAUUCUCGCAGGAAACAGUUUCUUAUAUUGAAUCGCUUGAUAUGAUGUCUGGGGAGGAGGACAAGGAAAACAUUCUGAAGGCUCGGGCUACCGGGAAAGCAGUUCUGACAAGUCCCUUCAGGUUGUUGGGUUCUCAUCAUCUUGGGGUUGUAUUGACUUUUCCUGUCUACAAAUCCAAGCUUACUCCGAACCCAUCGGUGGAAGAACGCAUUCAAGCAACCGCUGGAUACCUUGGUGGUGCAUUUGAUGUUGAGUCACUUGUUGAGAAUUUACUUGGGCAACUUGCUGGGAACCAGGCAAUUGUGGUGAAUGUUUUUGAUGUUACUAACUCUUCCGAUCCAUUAAUCAUGUAUGGGCACCAAUAUCAAGAUGGUGACAUGUCCCUUAAGCAUGACAGCUCGCUUGAUUUUGGAGAUCCAUUCAGGAAACACCAAAUGGUGUGUAGGUAUCUUCAGAAGGCACCUACAUCAUGGACAGCGCUUACCACGGCAUUCUUGUUCUUUGUGAUUGUUUUAUUAGUCGGUUACAUGAUAUAUGGUGCAGCAAUUCACAUUGUUAAAGUUGAGGACGAUUUCCAUAAAAUGCAGGAACUGAAAGGCCAAGCAGAAGCUGCUGGUGUGGCCAAAUCCCAGUUCCUUGCCACUGUUUCACACGAAAUUAGAACACCCAUGAAUGGCAUCCUGGGAAUGCUUGCCCUGCUUCUAGAUACCGAUUUGAGUUCAACCCAAAGGGACUACGCUCAAACUGCUCAAGCUUGUGGAAAGGCACUCAUAACAUUAAUAAAUGAAGUGCUUGACCGGGCUAAGAUUGAAGCUGGGAAGUUAGAGUUGGAGGCAGUCCCGUUUGACCUUCGCUCCAUACUGGAUGAUGUUCUCUCUUUAUUCUCUGAGAAGUCUAGGCACAAGGGUAUCGAGUUGGCUGUAUUUGUGUCUGACAAAAUUCCUGAAGUUGUUAUGGGAGAUCCAGGAAGGUUCCGGCAAGUUAUCACCAAUCUUGUAGGCAACUCAGUCAAAUUUACAGAGCAAGGACAUAUUUUUGUUCAAGUCCAUCUAGCUGAACAUGUCAAUGCUGUCAUCAAUGCAAAAACUGAAUCCUGCUUGAAUGGCGGAUCUGGUGCCGUUCCCUUGGCUGGCUCUAAGUUUAAAACCUUAAGUGGCUGUGAAGCUGCUGAUGACCGUAGCAGUUGGGAGAGUUAUAAAUGUUUAAUCACUGAUGAAGAAUUCCGAAUGUCCACAGAGGAGACUUCACAGAGUGUUACUUUGUUGGUGCAUGUGGAGGAUACCGGGAUUGGUAUUCCUUUAAAUGCCCAGGAGCAAGUUUUCACACCCUUCAUGCAGGCUGACAGUUCAACCUCUAGAAAUUAUGGUGGCACUGGUAUUGGGUUAAGUAUUAGUAAGUGUCUGGUAGAGCUAAUGGGUGGUCAGAUAAAUUUCAUUAGCCGCCCUCAUGUUGGAAGCACAUUUUCUUUCACUUCUGCCUUUAGACGGUGUGAGAGAAGUACCUUCUCUGAUCUGAAAAAGCCUCUUCCUAGUGGAUUUAAAGGAUUGAAAGCAGUUGUAGUCGAUGCCAAACCGGUCAGAGCAGCUGUUACCAAGUACCAUCUUAAGAGACUUGGUAUCGUGGUCGAAAUUGUGAGUAGCAUCAGGAUGGGAGUUGCUCUGCCUGGAAAGAAUGGUUCACUGAGAUCUAAAAAUGAAAUGCAAGCAGAUAUGAUUCUAGUUGAGAAGGACUUGUGGAUGUCUGGCGAGGAUGGUAGCCUAAAUUUACGGUUACUGGACUGGAAACAGAAUGGUCAUACAUUUAAAUUGCCGAAGCUGAUUUUACUUGCGACCUGUAUUACUGGUGCCGAGUUUGAGAAAGCAAAACAAGCAGGUUUUGCUGAUACUGUGAUCAUGAAACCAUUGAGAGCAAGUAUGGUGGCAGCAUGCCUUCAACAAGUUUUGGGAAUGGGGAAGAAAAUGCAACAAGACAAAGACAUGGUUAACGGGUCUACUUUCCUUAAAAGCUUGCUUUGUGGCAAGAAAAUUUUGGUGGUUGAUGAUAACAUGGUGAACCGCAGAGUUGCUGCCGGUGCAUUAAAGAAGUUUGGGGCCGAUGUAGAGUGUGCCGAGAGUGGCAAAGCUGCUCUCACUUUGCUGCAAUUACCACAUAAUUUUGAUGCGUGCUUCAUGGAUAUUCAGAUGCCUGAAAUGGACGGUUUUGACGCAACACGGCUUAUUCGUGAAAUGGAGAGGAAGGCGAACGAGCAGCAGACAAACGGAUCCACGGCCAUGGAGGGCCGGCAGGCUGAAUGGCACGUGCCAAUAUUAGCCAUGACAGCAGACGUUAUUCAUGCCACCUACGAUAAAUGCCUAGAAUAUGGUAUGGACGGUUACGUGUCGAAGCCCUUUGAGGAGGAGAAUCUCUAUCAGGCCGUCGCCAGGUUCUUCGAACCAAAGCCCAUCUCCGACUUGUAGCAGGAUGCCAAUUACAAGUGAAUCGGCCAAUCUCUAACCAUGAAGUUCCGGUCAGUCCUGAUGAUGCAUUGAGACUUUCCUUGGUGUUAUAGCAGAUUUUAUGGAGGGAAUUAGCUGCCAAUAUACGUUUUUUUUUUUUUUGGUUUAAUGUUUUACUCAGACAAUUUUUUUGCUGUAAAAGCAAAUUAGUUGCUUAAAAUUAGGAAGGUUGGUUGCUACUUUAAAAGCAUGUUAGUAGUAGUGGAGACAGUUAUGGCCGUAUUCUCUCUCAUGCCCAAGCAUUGCCGGCAAGUUUUCCUCCAUUCUCGUGGUGCUUUGUUCGAGUAGGUCGUCAACCCGGGUCGCCGAGCGUCGUUGACCAGUACUAAGACAGGCCAGGAUCAGCUUCUCAGUAAAUGUAUACAAACUGCUCUGUAAAACUUCCAAUGACCAAUCCUCUUUGGUAUGUACAGGGUCUUUUUAGAGGGGAUAGGGGUGGCAACGGCAGAAACUGUAUAAUUUGUGAAGAAGCUACCCCCAAAUACUGUGAUCUGUAUAAUUGCCCUUUGUACAAUGCUGCAUUCCCCAUUAAAAGGCUUCUGCUUCAAUAGCCGGUUGGGUUAAUUAGUCCAACCAAGAAAGCU